GCCUUGCUAGCUCAAUCGGUAGAGCGUGUGACUCUUACCAUCACAAGGUUGGGGGUUCGAGCCCCCCGUAGGGCU
rnacentral:tRNA from 1 species